rnacentral:misc_RNA from 1 species
CACCGCAAAGAUGAGCUUACUUGCCGUUCAAGCUGACUAGACCGUCGGCUAUCGAGAAGUCGGCAGGCCGUCUUCGCGCACAAGAAGGAACACAGGCACGGCCGCAGUCGCGUACAGUGCAAACUGCCAGCGAGACUGGACGAGGAGAAGCUCUGCACAGCUGCCGUGGCCAAGCACAAGACGAAGACGAACACAAUACGCGAGAACGUGCAAGGCAUGUUGCCCGAGGGACCUCUGUUCUUCCUCUUCUACCGUCUGUUUCGCACUUUUCCCUCUCGAACUCCCGGGGAUGGGUGGAGGAGCUUCCGUCUUACAGGCACACACACACACACACAUACAGGCGCGAACGCGCGCUCCGAUAGCUUCCUGCGGCUGCCAUCCCCGCUCAAGCAUCCAGGCGCAGCUGCGGCUGCUUUUUGUUGGGGGUGAGGUGGGGGAAAGAUGUAUGAUUCCCAUGAGGUUUGCUGAGUUGCGCCUCCUUUGUGCCUUCACGCUUCACCGACAUUCUUCCCCCCUAUACGCGCCCUUUCCUCGGUGUCGGUGUCGAGCGCGUUCACGGCAUGCUCAGCCUUUGAAGGCUUUCUUCUCCGCUUUCCGUCCUUGUCCUUCGAUGCUCUGUGCCUCGCCUUCCCCUCUCGCCCGUCUCGCACACAUCCGGUUUUGUUUUUGCAGGCAUCACUGCUG